AUUGGUGAUUUUGCAUACAGAACAUGCAGAAGUAAUUUUUGCGUGUCUGCGUUUUUUUUUGUAUCUAUAAAUACUUUGUGUUUUAAGGGCAUUUUCUUGCAAGAUCGUGACAUUUUGAAACAGCAUCAAAACGAGGCAAUACACUGUAAAUAUGCUAAUCUUAUUCUACAUGCAAAAUCAGCAGGCAAGCUGGAGGCAACCGUCAACAUUUUUGUUGCUUCUUGGGCAUCAACUCAGAGAGAGGCUCAAAAUCAAAGAAGAGCAAGGGCUUCGACCGGAGAGUUUGCCCUUUUCUGAGACAACUAGUUGAUUUUGAGUAGAUGUCAGUGUAGACAUAAUUUUCUGUCUGGAGUAUGUACUGUUUUUGCCCUGGAGGUUUUAUAGCUGCAUUGUUGUUUAUUCACUCCCUCACUAUAUUAGCUGAUGUGUGGUGAGCGUUCUGGUGUGAAAUUGUGGCCAGAUGGUGCUACUCAUUGGUGGUGGUUGAGGUGAGUCUUUCCUUUCACUGUAUAGCACUUUGAACAUCUGGACAAGUGCUAUAUAAAUGUAAUGGUCAUUGAUUCAUUCAUUCAUAAAAUUGUUUUUCCAUUGUUUUUAAAAUGUUGAAAAUAUUUGCUGAAGGGUUCAGUGUUAUUGCACUUGUACAUUUACAUUUAAAUCAGAUGCGUAUAUUAUUUUGCAUAAUAAAAAUGUGAAAAAGAAA